AUUGAACGCUGGCGGCAGGCCUAACACAUGCAAGUCGAACGAGUGGCGGACGGGUGAGUAAUGUCUGGGAAACUGCCUGAUGGAGGGGGAUACCUACUGGAAACGGUAGCUAAUACCCCAUACCAUCGGCUGUUCCCAGAUGGGAUUAGCUAGUAGGUGGGGUAAAGGCUCACCUCGGCGACGAUCCCUAGCUGGUCUGAGAGGAUGACCAGCCACACUGGAACUGAGACACGGUCCAGACUCCUACGGGAGGCAGCAGUGGGGAAUAUUGCACAAUGGGCGCAAGCCUGAUGCAGCCAUGCCGCGUGUAUGAAGAAGGCCUUCGGGUUGUAAAGUACUUUCAGCGGGGAGGCGGUACCCGAAGAAGAAGCAACGGCUAACUCCGUGCCAGCAGCCGCGGUAAUAC
rnacentral:rRNA from 1 species